rnacentral:rRNA from 1 species
GACGUAGGGGGCAAGCGUUGUCCGGAAUUAUUGGGCGUAAAGCGCUCGUAGGCGGAUCGAUAAGUCUGUGAAGAAAGACCCGGGCUCAACUCGGGGAACGGCAUGGAUACUGUUGAUCUUGAGACAGUCAGAGGAUGAUGGAAUUCCAGGUGUAGCGGUGAAAUGCGUAGAUAUCUGGAGGAACACCGAUUGCGAAGGCAGCUCGCUGGAACGUUACUGACGCUGAGACGCGAAAGCGUGGGGAGCAAACAGGAUUGAGAAACCCC